AGAGUUUGAUCCUGGCUCAGAUUGAACGCUGGCGGCAGGCCUAACACAUGCAAGUCGAGCGGUAGCACAGAGAGCUUGCUCUCGGGUGACGAGCGGCGGACGGGUGAGUAAUGUCUGGGAAACUGCCUGAUGGAGGGGGAUAACUACUGGAAACGGUAGCUAAUACCGCAUAACGUCGCAAGACCAAAGUGGGGGACCUUCGGGCCUCAUGCCAUCAGAUGUGCCCAGAUGGGAUUAGCUAGUAGGUGGGGUAACGGCUCACCUAGGCGACGAUCCCUAGCUGGUCUGAGAGGAUGACCAGCCACACUGGAACUGAGACACGGUCCAGACUCCUACGGGAGGCAGCAGUGGGGAAUAUUGCACAAUGGGCGCAAGCCUGAUGCAGCCAUGCCGCGUGUGUGAAGAAGGCCUUCGGGUUGUAAAGCACUUUCAGCGGGGAGGAAGGCGUUAAGGUUAAUAACCUUGGCGAUUGACGUUACCCGCAGAAGAAGCACCGGCUAACUCCGUGCCAGCAGCCGCGGUAAUACGGAGGGUGCAAGCGUUAAUCGGAAUUACUGGGCGUAAAGCGCACGCAGGCGGUCUGUCAAGUCGGAUGUGAAAUCCCCGGGCUCAACCUGGGAACUGCAUUCGAAACUGGCAGGCUAGAGUCUUGUAGAGGGGGGUAGAAUUCCAGGUGUAGCGGUGAAAUGCGUAGAGAUCUGGAGGAAUACCGGUGGCGAAGGCGGCCCCCUGGACAAAGACUGACGCUCAGGUGCGAAAGCGUGGGGAGCAAACAGGAUUAGAUACCCUGGUAGUCCACGCCGUAAACGAUGUCGAUUUUGGAGGUUGUGCCCUUGAGGCGUGGCUUCCGGAGCUAACGCGUUAAAUCGACCGCCUGGGGAGUACGGCCGCAAGGUUAAAACUCAAAUGAAUUGACGGGGGCCCGCCCAAGCGGUGGAACAUGUGGGUUUAAUUCGAUGCAACGCGAAAAACCUUACCUGGGCUUUGAAUCCCACAGAAUUUUCCCAAAAAUGGGUUUGGUGCCUUUCCGGAAAUUGUGAGACAAGGUGUUGCAAAGGGUUGCCUCAACCUCCUGUUUUGGAAAAAGUUGGUGUUAAUUCCCCCGACCAAGCGCACCCCUUAUUCCUUUUUGUGCCCCCGGGUAAGGCCGGGAACCUCAAAGGAGACUGCCAGUGAUAAACUGGAGGAAGGUGGGGAUGACGUCAAGUCAUCAUGGCCCUUACGACCAGGGCUACACACGUGCUACAAUGGCAUAUACAAAGAGAAGCGACCUCGCGAGAGCAAGCGGACCUCAUAAAGUAUGUCGUAGUCCGGAUUGGAGUCUGCAACUCGACUCCAUGAAGUCGGAAUCGCUAGUAAUCGUAGAUCAGAAUGCUACGGUGAAUACGUUCCCGGGCCUUGCACACACCGCCCGUC
rnacentral:rRNA from 1 species